rnacentral:rRNA from 1 species
UACGAAGGGACCUAGCGUAGUUCAGAAUUACUGGGCUUAAAGAGUUCGUAGGUGGUUGAAAAAGUUGGUGGUGAAAUCCCAGAGCUUAACUCUGGAACUGCCAUCAAAACUUUUCAGCUAGAGUAUGAUAGAGGAAAGCAGAAUUUCUAGUGUAGAGGUGAAAUUCGUAGAUAUUAGAAAGAAUACCAAUUGCGAAGGCAGCUUUCUGGAUCAUUACUGACACUGAGGAACGAAAGCAUGGGUAGCGAAGAGGAUUAGAUACCCUCGUAGUCCAUGCCGUAAACGAUGUGUGUUAGACGUUGGAAAUUUAUUUUCAGUGUCGCAGCGAAAGCGAUAAACACACCGCCUGGGGAGUACGACCGCAAGGUUAAAACUCAAAUGAAUUGACGGGGACCCGCACAAGUAGUGGAGCAUGUGGUUUAAUUCGAAGAUACGCGCAGAACCUUACCAACACUUGACAUGUUCGUCGCGACUCUAAGAGAUUAGAGUUUUCGGUUCGGCCGGACGAAACACAGGUGCUGCAUGGCUGUCGUCAGCUCGUGUCGUGAGAUGUUGGGUUAAGUCCCGCAACGAGCGCAACCCUCACUUUUAGUUGCCAUCAUUAAGUUGGGCACUCUGAAAGAACUGCCAGUGGUAAGCUGGAGGAAGGUGGGGAUGACGUCAAGUCCUCAUGGCCCUUACGUGUUGGGCUACACACGUGCUACAAUGGUAUCUACAACAGGAAGCAAGACUGCGAAGUUAAGCAAAUCCCUAAAAGAUACCUCAGUUCGGAUUGCACUCUGCAACUCGAGUGCAUGAAGCUGGAAUUACUAGUAAUCGUGGAUCAGCGUGCCACGGUGAAUGCGUUCCCGGGUCU